AAGACUAUAGACCUGCGGAGUACCUGCGGAGGGAUCAUUAAUGAGUUUCUAAAACUCCCAACCCAUGUGAACAUACCUCUGUUGCCUCGGCGGCCUACCCGGUAGCUACCCUGUAGUUACCCUGUAGCCCGCCGAAGGACAUCAAAACUCUGUUUUUAGUAUUAUCUCUGAGAACAACUUUUAAAUAAGUCAAAACUUUUAGCAACGGAUCUCU
rnacentral:misc_RNA from 1 species